GGCACACACCUGUAGUCCCAGCUACUCGGGAGGCUGAGGCAGGAGAACCGCUUGAACCUGGGAUUCGGAGGUUGCAGUGAGCUGAGAUCGUGCCACUGCACUCCAGCCUGGUGAUAGAGCGAGACUCUGUCUCAAAAAAAGAGAGAGAAAAAAAGGACUCAGGUCCUGGCUUUGUCUGCCACUUGCUAUGGGUUUUUGGGCAAACGACUUGCCCCCUCUGAAUCUAUUUGCUCAUGGAAUAGUUGAGCAAGACCUGCCUCACAUAAUAGCCAUGAGCCUUCCCAGGCUGUGUAAAUCAUCAAGUAUGUUAUGAACGUGAGCAUUAUUAGUCCAUUCUCUAAAAGAGAAGUUGCUGAAUUAUAAAAUAAUUGAAAGAGGAAGAAAAUAUUGGAAAAGACUCAACAAAACUGUCCUGUUGGGAGAUUUCUUUUUUUUCUGAGUUUUGCCCUGUCACCCAGGUUGGAGCACAGUGGUGUGACCUUGGAUCACUGCAACCUCCACCUCCCGGGUUCAAGUGAUUCUCCUGCCUCAACCUCCCAAGUAGCUGGGAUUAUAGGCACACGCCACCAUGCCUGGCUAAUUUUUUUGUAUUUUUAGUAGAGACGGGGUUUUGCCAUGUUGGCCAGGCUGGUCUCAAACUCCUGACCUCAGUUGAUCCGCCCGCCUCGGCCUCCCAAAGUGCUGGGAUUAGAGGCGUGAGCCACCGUGCCCGGCAGUGUUGCAGAUUUCUAAUUAGUCAGUUAAUUUACCAAGUAUUUGUUUGGAGAUGGGAGGGGAGAAUGCAAAGCAACUGGAUGGGAUCCUAGGUUUUCAAAUAAAUGGACAAGAGCGUGGAUUCCCAAUGUCCCUAGCAAGUUUCUUUUUCUUUCUUUCUUUUUUUUUUUUUUUGAGACAGAAUUUCACUCUGUUGCCCAGGGUGGAGUGCAGUGGCAGGAUCGUGGCUCACUGCAGCCUCUGCUUCCCAGGUUCAAGUGAUUCACCUGCCUGGCUGAUUUUUUUUUUUUUUAUUUAUAAUACAGAUGGGGUUUCACCAUGUUGGCCAGGCUGGUCUCAAACUCCUGACCUCAAGUGUUCCACCACCUUGGCCUCCUAAAGUGCUGGGAUUACAGGUGUGAGCCACUGUGCCUGGCCAAGUUUCUUUCCCUCCCUUCCUUCCUUCCUUCAUUCCUUCCUUCCUUCCUUCCUUUUAUUAAAAAAAAAUUUUUUUUUGAGACAGAGUUUCGCUUUUGUUGCCCAGGCUGCGGUGCAAUGGCAUGAUCUCAGCUCACUGCAACCUCCAUCUCCCAAGUUCAAGUGAUUCUCCUGCCUCAGCAUCCCGAGUAGCUGGGAUUACAGGCAAGCCACCACGCCCAGCUACUUUUGUAUUUUUUACUGUAGAGAUGAAGUUUCACCAUGUUGAUCAGACUGGUCUUGAACUCCUGACCUCUGGUGAUCCGCCCACCUCGGCCUCCCAAAGUACUGGGAUUACAGGCGUGAGCCACUGCACCCAGUCUCUAUUUUUUUUUAAUUUGAGACGGGGUCUUGCUCUGUCACCCAGGCUGGAGUGCAGUGGUGCGAUCACAGCUCACUGCAGCUUCAAUCUCCUGGGCUCCAGCAAUCCACCACCUCAGCUUCCUGAGUGGCUGGGACUACAGGCACACGACACCACGCCCAGCUAAUUUUUGUAUUUUUUGUAGAGAUGGAGUUUCACGUUACCCAGGCUGGUCUCUAGGUCCUGGGCUCAAGUGAUCUGCCCACCUCAGCCUCCCAAAGUGCUGGGACUACAAGUAUGAGCCAGGGUACCCAGCCCCCAGAAAGUUUCUUAACAUCCCUGAGCCCCAAUUUCUUCAUCUAUAAAAUACAGAAAAUAAGAUUCUUGAAGGGUUGUUUUGAGAUUUAAAUGAGAUAAUGUGUAGAAAGUGCUAGCACAGUGCCAAGCACUCAUCGUUAUCCCCCAGUCUUCUUUACAAAUGGCAAUACUGGGACAAGAGAGAGUAGGUGGCUUCUGGAUAGAUCCAGCUGGUGCCAGAGCCAGGGCUCAAACCCUGAGCACCUGAGAUUCCGAACUCAGGACCCUUUUCUUUCCACCACAUCCAACACUCUUGAUAGUUCAAUCAGGCAACCAAUCUCCUGCUUAAUUAGUUUUAAAUAAUUAUUUAAUCUGCACAUACAGAACAUAGGGAUUAGUUUCCCCAUUCACAGAGGAAGAAACUGAAGCUCGGAGAGUUUGAGUAACUUUCCCCAAGGUCACACAGCCUAUCAGUGGCCGACCUGAGAUUUGAACUCAGUGAUGUUUCCUUCUAAAGCCUUGGCGCUUAACCUUGACUAAAGUGGAAAGAGGCCUCAGACAUCAUUUAGCUCAGCUCUGCCCAGGAGAGAGACUGGAGAUGAUGAUGCACAAGGAAGGUCCAGGAAAGCUCCAGGGAGACUGAGUGAAUCCAGACAGCCUGGGUGGGGGUGAUGAAUGGUGAGUGGACAGCAGGCUGGGGAUGGAAUCCUUCAGCCCCACAGGGAAGACUGCGUUUCUUUGAUAACCCAUAGACAUUUUUUUUUUUGAGAGAGAGAGAGUCUCGCUUUGUCGCCCAGGCUGGAAUGCAACGGCGCGAUCUCUGCUCGCUGCCACCUCCACCUCACAGGCUCAAGUGAUUCUCCUGCCUCAGCCUUCCAAGUAGCUGGGAUUACAGGCACCCACCACCACUCCUGGCUAAUUUUUGUAGUUUUAGUAGAGACAGGGUUUCAUCAUAUUGGCCAGGCUGGUUUCUAACUCCUGACCUCAAAUGAUCCGCCUGCCUCGGCCUCCCAACGUGCUGGGAUUACAGCAUAAGCCACUGCCCCCAGCCUACAUAUUCUUUCCUAAAAGGACUAGAGGUGGCUACAUUAUAAAUUGGGGCAGUUAAAAUAAAAACAAAGCAUUAGAAACCACUAAAAGGAGCAAUAAAUAAAUCAGGAACCGACCUUGAAUGGCCCCGUGACUGCACUUCCACAUUGCAUUUAGCUCUGGGCUUGCUGGCAGCCAAGGGAAAAAGAAGCACAGAAAUGGGUCUGAAGAAGGCUGCUUUUCUCCUAAUAGACAUUCAUUGAUUCUAUAAAUCCAUUUUAAAUAUUUAGAUGCCCACUUUGUGCCAGGCUUCAUGCCAGUUGAGGUGCUGGAAACCCCAGGAGGAAUUUAUUAAAGGAAUUGACUCCGGAAACAACUCCUUUGCCAGCCCUUUUCAUCUCUCCUCUAGGAAAGCUUCCAUAUUUUGCCUUAUGUCAAUAAACCUCCCCUGGGACCUAUAUCACUAGAGAGAUUUUAAGUUCCUUCCCUGCCCAGUGCUGUCCCACCUCCCCUGCCAAACCCAUUUUAGGAGUGACUGUCCUGGUGGCCUGUUCACAAGGUCAAGAUCCUGGGCAGGCACCAUCCUUCUAGUUCACACUCUGCUUCGGGGCUGCUGCUUGUGGUUCCAACCUCUUUCUGCAAGUCUGGUUCUCCGGGCCAGGAGCACUAGGGUGAGAAGUACAGUGAGGCUCAGGGGGCACAAGGUCUUGGAGUGGUGAGAAGCGUCUGUCAUGGGCUUGGGACUGAGAAGUGGGAGCUUGAGACCAUCAAAUUGCCUUGCCUGGCUGGGCUGAGUUCCAUCUCCCCAAGACUGCUCUGCUCAUCUCUGGCUCCUCAUCAAAAGACCUCCACCAAGAGUCUACUGUGCUAGGAGACACUUUUUUGAGCAAGUGGGAUACAAAGAUGACUCCACUCCCAGACCCAGAUACUACUCUCAAGACAAGGAGCUCACAGUCCAGGAAGCAAGAUGUGGAAUGGACACAUAUAAUACAAGGUAGACAGUGGUCUGUGCAGUAAGACUCAACAAAGGGAGACCAGAGAAUGCUUCUUGGAGGAGGUGGGUUUUGAUAUCAAAGUAGUUAUAAAAAGAGGUAAGAUUUGGGCUUUUUUUUUUUGAGAUAGAGUUUUGCUCUUGUUGCCCAGGCUGGAGUGCAAUGACAUGAUCUCGGCUCACUGCAACCUCUGCCUCCUGGAUUCAAGCGAUUCUCCUGCCUCAGCCUCCCAAGUAGCUGGGAUUACAGGCGCCCACCACCACACUCGGCCGAUUUUUGUAUUUUUAGUAGAGGUGGGGUUUCACCAUGUUGGCCAGGCUGGUCUGGAACUCCUGACCUCAGGUGAUCUGCCUGCCUCAGCCUCCCAAAGUGCUGGGAUUACAGGUGUGAGCCACCGUGCCUGGCCUGAUUUGGGCUUUCAGUAUAAUUCAUAGGUUCACACACACACACACACACACACACACACACACACACACACACACACACACAAGAUUUGGUCAAAAAAACCCCACAGUCUACAGCCCCAAAUUCCAGAAAACUUUAUUGCAACUGCAAUCAAGGGCUACAAAGAACAGAGGGAGGCCAGCCAGGCGCAGUGGCUCACGCCUGUAAUCUCAACACUUUGGGAGGCUGAGGUGGGCAGAUCACUUGAAGUCAGGAGUUUGAGAACAGGCUGGCCAACAUGGUGAAACCAUGUGUCUACCAAAAAUAGAAAAAUUAUCCAGGUGUGGUGCCUCACGCCUAUAAUCCCAGCUACUUGGGUGGCUGAGGCACGAGAAUUGCUUGAACCUGGGAAGUUGAGGUUGCAGUGAGCUGAGAUCACACCACUGCACUCCAGCCUGGGCAACAGAACAACAAUCUGUAUUCCAAAAAAAAAAAAAAGAACAGAGGGGGACUAGGAGAAGAAAUGUGGAAGGAGAGCCCCAUGGCUGAACACAGCAGCAGGGGCCCAGCCAGCUGGGCAGCAGGUCAAGAGGGUCACUUUGAUCUAUUUCUUUCUUUUUUUUUUUUUUGAGACAGAGUCCCACUCUUGUUGCCCAGGCUGGAGUGCAGCGGCACAAUCUUGGCUCACUGCAACCUCCGCCUCCCGGAUUUAAGCAAUUCUUUUGCCUCAGCCUCCCGAAUAGCUGAGAUUACAAGAGUGCACCACCACGCCUAGCUAAUUUUGUAUUUUUAGUAGAGAUGGGGUUUCACCAUGUUGGCUAGUCUGGUCUCAAACUCCUGACCUCAGGUAAUCUGUCUGCCUCGGCCUCCCAAAGUGCUGGGAUUAUAGGCAUGAGCCACCUCGCCCAGUGGGUCUGUUUCUGAUGGGUCAUUCUUGCAGGUUGAACAAGUUUUUCAAAAUGUGGUGGUUUGUCCUCAGUGGUGGCAAAGUGUCAGCUGAGAGUAAGUAGGGAUUGUUCUAUCUGCCUCAGCUCUCAGGCGAAGGUCAGGCAUGACUGGAGGACAGAAUUCUUUUCUUCUUUUUUUUUUUUUUUUUCUUUUUUUGAGACAAGGUCUCACUCUGUAGCCCAGGCUAGAGCACAGUGGCACAAUCACUGCUUACUGCAGCCUUGACUUCCUGGGCUCAAGUGAUUCUCCUGCCUCAGUCUCCCCAGUAGCUGGGACUACAGAUAUGCACCACUGUGCCCAGCUAAUUUUUGUAUUUUUUGUAGAGAUGGGGUUUUACCAUGUUGGCCAAGCUACUGCUGGGCUCAAGUGAUCCACCUGUCUCUGCCUCCCAAAGUGCUGGGAUUACAGGCAUAAGCCCCCAUGCCUGGCACAGAAUCCUGUAAGAAUCCUAUAAACUAACUCUAUUAAGCAUCUCCUGCCUUUGAUUAGAUACCUACUGUAAACCAGGUACAGUGCCAUGAAUUUGGUAAACUUGUAUCAUUAAUCUGUAUAAUCAUGUGAUACUGAUAGUAUUUCUCCCAGUUUACAAAUGAAUGAAACAGAGGCUCAGAGAGGUGCAGUAACUUGCCGAAGGUCACACAUCCUGAAAGUUGCAGAGCUGGAUUUUAAUCCAGGAAGGUCUGGUUCCCAAACCUGUGACAUUGUGAUCCAACAUGCUAAGUUUCCUGGAGGAGACCUUGGGAAUCACCUCCCUCAAUCCAACUGCUUUGAAGAUGAGAAAAGAAAAGCCUGGAUGGUCAGGCAAGGUGGCUUAUGUCUAUAAUCCCAACAUUUUGGGAGGCUGAGGUGGAAGGACAGCUUGAGGCCAGGAGUUUGAGACCAGCCUGAGCAACAUAGCAAGACCCUAUCUAUAUUUUUUUAAUAAAAAUUAAAGAAAGAAAAGAAAGGCCUUAGACAGGAAAAGGGACCUGCCCAAAGUCACUCAGUAGCAGGACAAGAACUAGAACCUAGGCUUCCCUACUCCCAGUUGGGGAAGAAAACGAUGAGGCUUGUGGCAUCAAAUCUCAGCUUCCCACUGUAGGUGUGGUAGCCACAGGCAGGGUAUCAUUCUCCUCCUUGCCUCCAGCUCUGAGAGAUUUAAACACAGCAGCAAUGUGGGGCCAGCCGCUACUGUGGCUUCUUUCACUUCACGCAUUCACUUCAGGUUAGAAAAACCCCCAGAUACACCUUUUCUGAGCAGUUUCUCAGGUCCCAAGCUUCCCUUCCCAGACGCUCAGUAUGAACCAGGCUCUAGGCUGCAGCCCCUAACACCAACCCCACCAUGGACGCUCCUUGUGGGAAGUGCCAUAUGGUUUCUGAACAGUGGUAUUUUUGUUAGGUGAAGAAAGCACUUGGUCAUGGUGGUUCACUUUUUUCUUUCUUUCUUUUUUUUUUUUGAAGCUGAAUCUAGCUUUAUUGCCCAGGCUGGAGUGCAGUGGCGCAAUCUCGGCUCACUGCAACCUCUGCCUCCUGGGUUCAAGUGAUUCUCGUACUUCAGCCUCCCGAAUAGCUGGGGUUACAGGCACCUGCCACCACUCCUGGCUAAUUUUUGUGUUUUUAGUAGACAGGGUUUCACCGUGUUGGCCAGGCUGGUCUCAAACUUCUGACCUCAAGUAAUUUGCCCUCCUCGGCCUCCCAAAGUGCUGGGAUUACAGGCACAAGCCACCGCGCCCGGCCUUUUUUCUUUUUUAAUCAGGCAGCCCAGAAUAGGUUCAGAAAGACUCCCGCUUCUCUUUUACGUCUGUACAGCAUCAGAUCACAAAAUGUUUUUGCAUGCAUCAGUGAUUCUUAAUAUUCAGAACUCUGCUGGCACACUGAUAAAAAGUGUGAAUCCUUCCACCCCAACCAAAACAUGCACAGACAUAAAGUCUUAAAUAUGCCUCGAAAGGACCGAUACUCCCAUCCAAGCCUACCCAUGGACCCAGGGUAAGAAGCUAUGAUGGAGGUCAUCAGCCCAUUUGGCAUCUCAAGGAAAAUGGCACAGAAAACUAAGGAACCGGAGAGAGCGAACGGAGUGCAGGAAAAGUGUCUAUUUAAGGCGUACACCGGCUCAGCGGACAUGUGUCCUGGAAGUCUGAACCCAGGACAAAGAAAACGAGUCCCCCUUUAAGCAUUUCGAGGCGCGCAUUAUGUGAAGCGGGAAGCAGGCUUACAGAAGCAAGAAUAAAGGCUGUUGUGACGCUUUUGCAA